UACGUAGGUGGCAAGCGUUGUCCGGAUUUACUGGGCGUAAAGAGCGCGCAGGCGGUCGUUCAAGUCGCGUGUGAAAGCCCCCGGCUCAACUGGGGAGGGUCACGCGAUACUGAUCGACUCGAAGGCAGGAGAGGGUAGUGGAAUUCCCGGUGUAGUGGUGAAAUGCGUAGAUAUCAGGAGGAACACCGGUGGCGAAGGCGGUUCUCUGGGCAUGUCCUGACGCUGGAGGAGCGAAAGUGUGGGGAGCGAACAGG
rnacentral:rRNA from 1 species